rnacentral:tRNA from 1 species
AGUUAAUAGUUUAAAACAUUAUGUCUUGAAAACAUAAAAUGAAAUUUAUAUUUUAUUAACUU